UACGUAGGGUGCAAGCGUUAAUCGGAAUUACUGGGCGUAAAGCGUGCGCAGGCGGUGAUGUAAGACAGUUGUGAAAUCCCCGGGCUCAACCUGGGAACUGCAUCUGUGACUGCAUCGCUGGAGUACGGUAGAGGGGGAUGGAAUUCCGCGUGUAGCAGUGAAAUGCGUAGAUAUGCGGAGGAAUACCGAUGGCGAAGGCAAUCCCCUGGACCUGUACUGACGCUCAUGCACGAAAGCGUGGGGAGCAAACAGG
rnacentral:rRNA from 1 species